rnacentral:rRNA from 1 species
UUUAUGGAGAGUUUGAUCCUGGCUCAGGAUGAACGCUGGCGGCGUGCCUAAUACAUGCAAGUCGAGCGAACGGACGAGAAGCUUGCUUCUCUGAUGUUAGCGGCGGACGGGUGAGUAACACGUGGAUAACCUACCUAUAAGACUGGGAUAACUUCGGGAAACCGGAGCUAAUACCGGAUAAUAUUUUGAACCGCAUGGUUCAAAAGUGAAAGACGGUCUUGCUGUCACUUAUAGAUGGAUCCGCGCUGCAUUAGCUAGUUGGUAAGGUAACGGCUUACCAAGGCAACGAUGCAUAGCCGACCUGAGAGGGUGAUCGGCCACACUGGAACUGAGACACGGUCCAGACUCCUACGGGAGGCAGCAGUAGGGAAUCUUCCGCAAUGGGCGAAAGCCUGACGGAGCAACGCCGCGUGAGUGAUGAAGGUCUUCGGAUCGUAAAACUCUGUUAUUAGGGAAGAACAUAUGUGUAAGUAACUGUGCACAUCUUGACGGUACCUAAUCAGAAAGCCACGGCUAACUACGUGCCAGCAGCCGCGGUAAUACGUAGGUGGCAAGCGUUAUCCGGAAUUAUUGGGCGUAAAGCGCGCGUAGGCGGUUUUUUAAGUCUGAUGUGAAAGCCCACGGCUCAACCGUGGAGGGUCAUUGGAAACUGGAAAACUUGAGUGCAGAAGAGGAAAGUGGAAUUCCAUGUGUAGCGGUGAAAUGCGCAGAGAUAUGGAGGAACACCAGUGGCGAAGGCGACUUUCUGGUCUGUAACUGACGCUGAUGUGCGAAAGCGUGGGGAUCAAACAGGAUUAGAUACCCUGGUAGUCCACGCCGUAAACGAUGAGUGCUAAGUGUUAGGGGGUUUCCGCCCCUUAGUGCUGCAGCUAACGCAUUAAGCACUCCGCCUGGGGAGUACGACCGCAAGGUUGAAACUCAAAGGAAUUGACGGGGACCCGCACAAGCGGUGGAGCAUGUGGUUUAAUUCGAAGCAACGCGAAGAACCUUACCAAAUCUUGACAUCCUUUGACAACUCUAGAGAUAGAGCUUUCCCCUUCGGGGGACAAAGUGACAGGUGGUGCAUGGUUGUCGUCAGCUCGUGUCGUGAGAUGUUGGGUUAAGUCCCGCAACGAGCGCAACCCUUAAGCUUAGUUGCCAUCAUUAAGUUGGGCACUCUAAGUUGACUGCCGGUGACAAACCGGAGGAAGGUGGGGAUGACGUCAAAUCAU